rnacentral:rRNA from 1 species
AGGUAAACGGGUGGAGUUGAACUGCGAGCUCUGGGAAUUCAGCUGGUGAGCGUGGCUUGAGCUUGGUUAAAUUGGUUGGACCUCGGAGUCUGCGUAGCAGCAGGCCUUCGCCUUUCGGGGUGGGGGUGCGCGAUGCACUUGUCAAGUGUUGUGCGCUCUGGGUGUUUCAUCGGACCAGUUCGCCAGUGCACUUUCUCGGAGUGUUCACCACGACGGGCAUUGCUGUCUGGCUGUUGCGGUUAAACCGGUUCGACAUUGUCCUUGUGGCUUUGCCGGGUCGGGAUGGCAGGUAACUCGUUGGCUUGCUUGUGGCUUGCUGCAGGCGUUUGGCUUUCGAGUGUAAUCAGCUGACUGCAUCGGUUCUGUGCGGUAUGUCUGGGACGGCGGCUUUUGUGUGUGCGUGCGUACCUGUUCGGUCGUCGCAUUCGGGUUCGGUUGUUCUGUAGCCUGUGAAGGCAGGCCUGAUGAUAGCCCGGGUGUGUUCGGUUGGCGGUGGCGUGCGUGUCACGUUUCUUGGGCCAAUAGUCUGUGGUGUUGUGGUAGACUAUCCACCUGACCCGUCUUGAAACACGGACC